UCCGCGAUGAGACAUGCACAGCUUAGCAAUUUAUACCUACAGCCUCACAAUCUUAUGAGAGCUACGUAGGACAGGUCGGAGAUGAGGGAGAAGGGGUUUAUCUCAGAAAGGUAUCACACCCACACUGUCCCACCUGAGCUAUGUAGGACAGGUCAGAGAUGAGGGAGAAGGGGUUUAUCUCAGAAAGGUAUCACACCCACACUGUCCCACCUGAGCUACGUAGGACAGGUCGGAGAUGAGGGAGAAGGGGUUUAUCUCAGAAAGGUAUCACACCCACACUGUCCCACCUGAGCUACGUAGGACAGGUCGGAGAUGAGGGAG